GCCCAGAUGGUGGAAUUGGUAGACACGCUGGUUUCAGGUACCAGUGCCGUUAAAAGCAUGCAAGUUCAAGUCUUGUUCUGGGCA
rnacentral:tRNA from 1 species